rnacentral:rRNA from 1 species
AGGGUUUGAUCCUGGCUCAGAAUGAACGCUGGCGGCGUGCCUAACACAUGCAAGUCGAGCGAGAAAGUUCCCUUCGGGGAGCGAGUAAAGCGGCGAACGGGUGAGUAACACGUGGACAACCUGCCUUGGAGUGGGGGAUAACCUGGGGAAACUCGGGCUAAUACCGCAUACGUCUCGAGAACUUCGGUUCGAGAGGGAAAGCUGGCCAAUACUUGUAAGCUGGCGCUCCUUGAGGGGUCCGCGUACGAUUAGCUUGUUGGUGAGGUAACGGCUCACCAAGGCGACGAUCGAUAGCCGGCCUGAGAGGGUGAUCGGCCACACUGGGACUGAGACACGGCCCAGACUCCUACGGGAGGCAGCAGUGGGGAAUAUUGGACAAUGGGGGAAACCCUGAUCCAGCAACGCCGCGUGGAGGACGAAGGCCUUCGGGUCGUAAACUCCUGUCAGAUGGGACGAAAAGGCGUCGGUAAAUAGCCGGCGCACCUGACGGUACCACCAGAGGAAGCCCCGGCUAACUCCGUGCCAGCAGCCGCGGUAAUACGGAGGGGGCAAGCGUUAUUCGUGAAUUACUGGGCGUAAAGGGGUGCGUAGGCGGCCCUGGUAAGUCAAAGGUGAAAUCCCUCGGGCUCCACCUGAGGAACUGCCCUUUGAAACUA